UACGUAGGGUGCAAGCGUUUGUCCGGAAUUAUUGGGCGUAAAGAGCUCGUAGGCGGUUUGUCGCGUCUGCUGUGAAAACGCGAGGCUCAACCUCGCGCCUGCAGUGGGUACGGGCAGACUAGAGUGCGGUAGGGGAGAUUGGAAUUCCUGGUGUAGCGGUGGAAUGCGCAGAUAUCAGGAGGAACACCGAUGGCGAAGGCAGGUCUCUGGGCCGUAACUGACGCUGAGGAGCGAAAGCGUGGGGAGCGAACAGG
rnacentral:rRNA from 1 species